CAGGGAUAAUCAGGAGCAACUUCACAGGGUAAAAAUAAAAUGAGCUAAAGUAUAGAAAUUCCCAGCGUGCUUUAAGUACACAGAACCUAUGGUGAGUAAACACUUGCUGUACAAACUUGAGAACAGAGUUCAAUUCCCCAGAGAAUCAACUCCCAAACAUUGCUCUCUGACCUUCACACAUGGACCAUGACACAUGCACCCCUGAACACACAUAAACACUAUUCACACAUACAUAAUAGUGUUUUUUUAAAUGUUAGUUGGGGGCGGGCACUGAAAAGCGGCUCAUCAAUUAAUAACACUUGCUGUUCUUGCAGAGGACCUGGGCUUGGUUCCCAGCAUUUAUAUGGUGGCUCACAACCAUCUGUGAUUCCAGUUCCAGGGGAUCCCACGCCCUCUUCUGACUUCCACAGGGGGCUCCCUCGCCCACUUUUCCUGAGAACAUGGC
rnacentral:lncRNA from 1 species